UUCUUUCUUUUCUAUAUUAUGGCUUCCACCGGACUUUCGGUGAUUCUGCCAAUGUCAUGGUUUGAAGAGACACGAAGUUACAAAAAUGGACGGUAUACAAUCUGAAAGGAGAAGGUUAACAAAUGUACAAACACAAAAAGACAAACACAACAAGUAGGUAUUGUUAGUAAAAGAGAAGACAAGUUAAUGAUUAUAAUGUGUAGUGAGUGUGUAAGGUAUAAAAGUUGUGCAAAACAAGGGAUAUACUUAAUAGGGAGAUUUCGGAAGUUAAAAAAAAUAAAUAAAUUUGUAAUGGGAACUAUAGUUUUAGGUUAUUUUUAGUUAUGAACUUUGCAAUUAUAUAACAGAACCGAGUGUGGACAAGAGAAAGAAAUGAAUUAGUGUCUAAAUUUAGAUGGGGAAUGUUAGACGGAAUUAUGUUACGAAGAUGGACCACAAGUUUGGGGCAGUUGAAAAUUAUGUGAUUAAGACUACCUUCAUCCAGGCCACAUUCACAGAUAGAAGUAUCUCUAAUUCGGAGUUUAUGGAGGAAGACAGGGAUACAUACAUGGCCAAGUCGCAUUCGGAUAAUAACCGACGUUACCCACUUCUCCAAGUUUCGAUGCCGGAAGAACCAAGGGACUUUGGGGUAAUUGGAAAGUUAUCCUUUGCAUGGAAGGGUCGUUUCAAAAUAUCUUGGAGGCAGCUCAAAGAGUCUGAGAGGAUAAGUGAUUUGUCCAAAUUGUGAGAUAAAACAAAUUGAACAGCUUCAAAGAGAGCAAUGGAUUCUCCAGUAAAUAUAGAGGAUUGUGAAAGAUAUUUAAAACUUAGUAAAAGAUUGAAUUUAGGUAUCCAAACUGCUGCACCAACAUUAGAGUCCUGAGAUAAUUUGGAAGCAUCCGUAAAAAUGAGGGUCCAAUCAGACCAUUUCUCAGAAAUGAUCCGGUUGAAUAUCCUAUCAGCACCAGGAAGAUUCUUGGAUAGUCCUAUGUUUAGAAGAACAUUAGGUUGGAAGAUGAGAGGGUGGAAGUCAAUAUCAAAGAUAGGAUUUUUGGAGAAUUGGGCAACUGGGUGGGGAAGGUUAUCUAUUUUAUCGAAGCUUUUAACCAAAGGGGGGUGAUCUUUGUUAACCCAAUAAGAAGAGGUAUGACAAUAGUCUGAUAGAGAGUUAAGUAUUUCUAAUAAGGGAUGAGAAAAUAAUUGGAUUGUUUUGUAAAGAAAUCUAUCAGCUAAAAAUUGUCUCCUUAAUACAAGAGGAGGAUCCAAACAUUCAACCUGAAGGGCAUUUGUUGGAGAAGAUUUCAUAGCACCGGUUAUAAUUCUGAGACAUUUAUGUUGAAUUUUGUCUAAUUUCGCCAAAGCUAAUUUGUUGCAUGGUUCUAAUAAGAAGGCACCGUAGUCAAAAUGGCUACGUACAAGGGCAUUAUAAAUUAAUUUUUGACUAUAGGGGUGGGAGCCCCAGCGGACCCCAGAGAGAGACCUCAUGACAUUAACUCCCUUUUCAGCUUUUUGGACAACAUGGUUUAAGUGAGUAACACCUGUUAGUUUGGAGUCUAAGGUAAUUCCUAAAAAUUUACAACUGUCUUUUUGAGGGAUAGUUUCAUUAUUAAUCGAAAUAGUUAAUAGGGGCAAAGAUCUCUUCCGAGUAAAGACGACACAGUUUGAUUUAAGCGGGGAGAUAGAUAAUCCAUGGUCUUCUAACCAGGUGUUGAGGUAAAAAAGAGCUGAAUUUAAACGACGGCUAAUGUCAUCAAAGGAGUCCGAAGAAGCGAAAAGAACUAUAUCAUCAGCAUAUUGAAGAAUAUUGCAAAAGCAAUUGACAGACUGAUCUAGGUCAGAAGUAUAUAAAUUAUACAAUAUGGGACUAAGUACAGAGCCCUGUGGAAGACCCUUCCAAACAGAGCGAGGGGGAAGAAGAGAACCCUGCAAACGGACAAUUAUGUGACGAUCCAUGAGCAUAUUACACAUGAUAUUAAUCAGCCUCACUGGAAUACUCAGCUUAUGCAAUUUUUGCCUGAGAAUAGGAAGUUGAACGUUAUCAUAUGCUGAAGUUAUGUCAAGAAAAACGCCUACCACAUGUUCGUUUUUAGAGAAUGCCACUCUUAUAUGGGAGACCAGGAUGCUCAGGCUGUCCAGAGUUCCCAUACCUCUUCUAAAGCCAAAUUGAGUAUUUGGAAGUAUGCCCUUUGAUUCAAUAAACCAUUCUAAUCGA